GUCAAAGUGAGAUAAUCGAGGCACGAGCCUUAUUAACUUCUACUGUCUCAAAAGGCAGAACUAGUGACCCUCACCAGGACCCUGUAAUUAGGGAAGGAUUUAAAGCUGAAAAUGUGCAUUGACUCAAAAUUUGCAUUUUUAGUGCUCCAUGCCCUGCUAUCUGGAAGGAACAAGGGCUUCUGACUACCAUGGGCUCUCCCAUAAAGCAUCAUUUAGUCAAACCUAAGCCUGUUAGACACUUUUCUUCUACCAAGAGAAGUAGCUGUAAUUCAUUGCAGGGGGCAUCAAAAGAGGGACUCUAAUACAACAAAAGGAAAUUCUUUUGCAGGUGCGGCAGCCAAGGCUGCUGCAUUAAAGGAACCAGCAGAACCUAUAGGCAUGUUGGUGCCUACUGCCCCAGUAAUAGCAGAACCAGAACAUACUAAAGAAGAACAAGAAUGGGCUGAAAGCCACGGUUUGGAUCAAGAUCCUUCCAGCCGGAACUAAUGGGACAUUGGUCAAGCAAGGAACCAACUGCCUGGCUCCCUGAAGAGGCUCAGUGCAUGCAUUCAUGAGAGGACCCUGUCCCGGCAAUCGACGUCCACUAUCAGCAGGAAGAAGUUACAGAAGAAUGAUCUUUGCCCUCCUCUCCUCUUAAAAGUAAAGGUUCUCUUAGCUGGGUGGCACACGCCUGUAAACUCAGAUACUAGGGAGGCUGAGGCACGAGAAUCACUUGAGCCUGGGAGGUGGAGGCUGCAGUGAGCUGAGAUCGCACCACCGUACUCUAGCCUGGGUGGCAGAGCGAGACCCUGUCUCAAAAAAACAAAACAAAACAAAAAGAUUAAGGGUUCCCUCAUAAAUAGUGGGGGUAAUGUUAGGGAAGCAGGAGCCUAGGAGGGCCAGAGUGGCACCAUUUUAAGUUCAGCUCUAUCUUGAGAAAUAGCAAAGCCCAUUCUCUGUUGGUCACGACCCACACUCAAGGGCUGUUUACAGUGGAAGAAGCAGCCUAAAGAUACCUACAAGGACACACUCC
rnacentral:lncRNA from 1 species